GUGUGUCACCAAGGGGGAUACGUGCUGCCACCACCUUUGCUUCUUUUUAACAGGUGCACAGCAUAAAGACAGCCUGGCUACACGAACACCGCCUGCGUUUUGUUCAAGUCGCCUUGAUCCGUCUGCCAGAUAACCAUUGACCCGUGUCCACGGAGCCUACUUCGGUGUUGACAUGCUUGAAGUAGGCAAUGAAAUUUAGUGAGGCACUUGUUGCUCUGGUUUUCUUGACAUUAAGCAAGGGGUACUUCAGUUCAGGACUUCAGUGUUGUGCAGAAUCCAUAGAUUUUAUAGCAAAUUUGCCGAGGUUGUGUAUAAUUAAAAAUGCAAUAAAUCUGCCAUCUUCAAACAGGUAUCGAACGAGAAAGAAGAAAGAAGAAAGAAA
rnacentral:lncRNA from 1 species